AAAGAGUGGAAGGUCUCGGGGCCCAGAGAGGGAGGAAAUGUAGUGAUGCUGGGCUGUUGGAGAGACCAUCAUGCGGACAAGACUCCUAAAUUCCCCACUGCUUCUUCACCAUCAGGUGGUGACUGUGGUGGAGUCGAGGCCAGAGCUCCCCAGGCCUCCAGCAUAGAGACGAGAUCGCAUGGGCCACUUCUGCAAGACAUGGGGAUGGUAAGUGAGUAAUACUCACUCUUACAGCCCCUUGUAGUCCUUGGCACCCCAAACAUGGCCUUCUUUAGCCCCCUCCCUGAGCCCUCCCUCAUCACUGCUCUGAUAGUGGUCUCGGACUCACCGCCACUUAUGGCCCCAUGCGUUCUCCUGACCACCUGAGCCUGGUGGCCAUAAGGAGCUGUUCGAGGAGAGCAAGGGCCCUGAACAGAGCCCCCUGAUAGUGGGGAGGGAGGUGGAUGGCAGUGUUGGCAAUGGCCAGGGGCUAGGCAGUGGGGAGGGCAGCAGAACUAGGGCAAGGAGAGGUUCCUCCUGGUACUGACCGGUCCCGACCUCUUCUUUUGCCCAGCCCCCCGCCCAAGUGCCUCUGGCCACACUUAUCAGUGCUGCUCUGUCCGUCUAAGCUGGGGACCUCCCAAGAUCACCCAUUCUUCUAGCAGGGGUGUGGACAACCCCCCAAACACCAGGCUACCCUGCCCUGAGGUCUCUCCUCCUCUUGGCAGCCCAUUCACUGGGGGAGUGGAAGGGGCACUGCCCCCAGCAAACUAUCGUAUCCCACCAAACUGCCCAAAUUCUUGACCUAAACCAGCUCUCAUCUGUUCUUUCUUCAACACAUGUAUCCAUUACCUCCUACGUGCAAGGGCCUUACUUUGCUCAUCGUUUUACAGCUAAGGAAGUGACUAUGCCCCCGUCAGUAUUUCAGAGUUGCCCCACGUAGUCUCGAAUUCUUGCAUUUAAGCUAUAUUUGCAUGGAAGAAAACAAUCUCAAGUUUUCAAGACGUUUCAGAACUGUGUUUCAGGGCGAGAGAUAGUGAAAGUAUCCUCUAUAAAAACAAGGUGGACCCCAUCACAGUGCUGUAUCUAUCCUGAGAGGGCAAGCAUGGCCCUUCCUCUAUAACAGUUACACUCUGCAAGCAGCAACUUACAGUGCCGUCCCCUUGGCCUGCCUGGUGGCUGUGAGCAUGGGCUCUGAGGUCAGACGCCUUUGGGUUCAAACUGCAUUUAGCCACUUACUCUCCCUGAGAUUCGAUUUCCUCACUUAGAAAGUGAUCCUCAUUUGGUUCUUGUGCGCACUAAAAGGUAGAGAUGGCCGAAGCACUAAGCCCAGCUCCUGACAUCACUUGAGCACCCAAGUGAUGUUAUUGCCGUUAUUGCGAUGGUGAAUAUUGUUAAUUAUAUUUUUCAUUCAUGAUCUCGUUUCAUGCCCCGGAAGGAGAAAUAAGGCUCACGUUCUCUUCCCUUUCACAUCUGAUAAAACCAAGGCUCCGAAAAGGUAGGUCCUGGUCUGGGGAGGUGGUGCAUGCAGGAAGCACCCCCCAAACUCCUCCCCGACCCCAGCUUGAUUGCUUCUAGAAUGAGGCUUUCUUAGACCUUGUUCUCCCAGAGGGGGAUCCCUCCUACGGCAGAAGUCCAGGGGACACCAAGGCGUUGUAUGAAGGGGUGGUGUGCCCUGGAAUCUAGGGCUUUCCUGGUGCGGUUUCCUUUCCCAGGCCCCAGCCCCGGAAACCGCUCCUUUGUCUCCCCUGCCGCUAGGCACCCCAGAGUCCUGGGACUCUGUGAAUCUCCCUCCUCUUGGAGGAACCGCAUUUUCAUGAAGUCAGUUCCAGUCACCACCCCCACUACACCCAAGGUCAGCGCAGUCCCAAGAGCCAGCCUUGGCUCCUCUCCCUCCGAGAGAGCAGGAAGCAGCUGGUCCCAGUGUCAGCUCUGCUCAGGGCCGGGGGCCUAAGUCCAGUCCAUCCCAAACCCCACUCCCUGAGGCCCUGAGCUCGUGGCCUACCUUCAGAGGGUGCAGGUAGCGCAGUCCACGCAGGAAGGGUGGCCAGGCGGGGCCAGGCAACUCCCGACCAAGUGUGCGGGUGAGGUGGGCUAUGUAGCUGGCGGCCAGCACCAGCACAUCCAGCUUGGAGAGCUUGGUGUCAGGGGGCACGGCGGGCAGAGCGGCCUGCAGGGCCAGGAAGGCCUGGCGCAGCGUCCUCACACGGCUCCGCUCCCGAGCAGCGUUCUCGGGACUGGCCUCGCUCUGCAGAGAGGACCCCAGGUGAGUGGGUCUGACUGGAUCCCCAUCUGCCCCUGGUUUCUAAGAACGUUCUCGUGUGAGCAGCCAUGCGCCAAACAGCAGAGACCCAAGGGCCUCACACUCUCUCUGUGCACUCUCAGUCCUGCCCUGCUUUAUGGCUGAGGAAACGGAGAGAGGGUCUCACUUGGGGUCAGAUGGCAGCUCAGAAGCUGAGAGUCCUUUACUCUUCCUAACGCUCUAGCCCUUGCUGCACCCACGGCCAAGUCUGAAUCCUGCUGUCGGGGUGCCCUGGGCCCGCAGGGAGCACAGAGCCACCCCUGCUCUGUAGGGCUGACCCUUGCCCAGCCAGGUCCUGACAUGAAGAGGCAGCUACAGCAGAGAAGGAAAAAGGAGCUCUCUGAGCUGCGCUCUGGGAGAAACUUCUAAGAAAAAGAGACUCUUACAUCCCCAUUUUACAGAUGGGAAAACUGGUAUCAGGAGGUGAUGCAACUCACCCAGCGUCAAACAUCUAGUAAAGAGAGAUGGAGCCUGAGUGGGGGAGGGGCAGAGAGAGGGAGACACAGAAUCCAAAGCAGGCUCCAGGCUCUGAGCUGUCAGCACAGAGCCCGACACGGGGCUCGAAUUCACGGACCGCGAGAUCAUGACCUGAGCCGAAGUCGGACACUCAACCGACUGAGCCACCCAGGCACCCCUCUUAUUUUGUUUUAAACAUCUAUAUCCUUUAUUAAUUGGAUAGUUUACUCCAUGAAGGUCUGUGUAUUCUUGCUUCAGUGAAAUAGCUCACAGUUUUGUUGAACUAAUUAGUUCACAGUUUUUGUUGCUCUUGCAAAUGCUUUUAUUUUAUUCUGUUUUCUAGUUGAUGAUGGCUGCUGUACAGAAAUGCUUGUUAAAGUUUGUCUUGAAUCCAGCAACCCUGCUGAGCUUUCUUAUUAGUCUUAAAACUCUGUUGCUUCCAUUGGCUUUUCUGAGUAGAUACAAAAUGACAGUUUUAUUUCUUCCUCUCAAUCUUUACACUUGUUUCUUUUUCUUUCCUUAGAGCAUUGGCUUGUGCUUCCAACACUACAUUAACAGGAAAUAGUGGUAGCUGGCACUGUUUUCUUCCCCUAACCCUCCACUGAACAUAUCUAGAAUUUCUCCAUUAAGCAUACUAUUUGCUGUAGGCUUUUGAUAUAUAACUUUUAGCAAGUUGAGGACAUAUCCUUCUAUUCCUUGUUUGCUAAGAGGUUUUUGGUAGUUUUUUUUUUUUUAUUAUAACUAGGUGUAGAACUUUAUCAGAUGCUUUUCUGCCGUCAGCUGAGAUACAAUCAUGAUUUUUCUCCCUUAGUCUAUGAAUAUGUUAAAUUAUUUUGUUGUAUUUUCUUUUUAUUAUAUGUUUAUUUACUUUUGACAGAUAGAGUGCUAGUGGGGAGGGGCAGAGAGUGAGGGGGACAGAGAAUCCAAAGUAGGCUCCACGCUAUCAGCACAAAUCCCGACGUGGGGCUCAAACAAACCAUGAGAUCAUGACCGUAGCCAAAGUCGUUACUCAACCAACUGAGCCACCCAGGCACCCCAAAUUAUUUUGUUGUAUUUUCUGAUGACAAAUCUUGCUUGAGUUCGGUAAGUCUUAUCUGCUUGUGAUUACUUUUUAAAAAAUAUACUUUCUGCUUCGUAUAGUUAAUAUGUUGCUUAGA